AAUUUUAUUGAACUUUUUUGUUCUGAAUAUUUUUAUAGUACAUCUAUCUCAGUUUUUAUAUAAACUUUUAGUAUCUUUUCUAUUGUUCACAGUGAUGGGAAAGCUUAAAGAAUAUUACUGAAAGAAUGAAAGGUUGAUUGAACUUUGAUAUGGUACAUGUAUAUAAAAUUCCCUUGGUUUCUCUCUCUAAAAUACAAGGUACAUGUAGGAUCAUCAUAUGAUUUCUACUGUUAAUUUGUGGUAUAUAUAUCUGAUCAUCAUAGUCAUGGUAGUAAAAUUGGCAGUUGAUUAAACAAUGAAAAUAAAUUCUGUAUCAUUUUGAAAUGAGUCUAGUAUGCAUAUUCUAUGAUUAUUUUAUUGAAAAGAAGUUCUCUGGGGAAACUCACCUGUUCAAGCACCCAGAUUGAUAAUAAUUAUAAAAAAGAAGAAGUGGUAUGAUUGCCAAUGAGCCAACUCUUCACAAUAGACCAAAUGACACAGAAUUAACAACUAUAGGUCACCCUAGGCUACGUCCUUCAACAAUGAGCAAAGCCCAUACUUCAGUCAUCUAUAAAAUAAGCCCAUCUUUUUGCUAUGCAUUUUUUACCAUGGAUGUAUGUCUUACAUUAUAAUAAGUAUGAUCCUAAUGACUUACUUUUUUAAUUGUUAAGAUUUUACCACAACAGAAGCUUGUAGAUAUCCCCAUUUAACAUAAAUUAAAGAAAUGCUGAUCAUGGGAUGAAAUUGGAAUAUAUAUAUAUUUAGUUUAAAUAAGAAUUGUACAUU
rnacentral:lncRNA from 1 species